rnacentral:rRNA from 1 species
CGAAACUCAAAGGAAUUGACGGGGGCCCGCACAAGCGGUGGAGCAUGUGGUUUAAUUCGAUGCAACGCGAAGAACCUUACCUGGGCUUGACAUCCCGAGAAUCCCCUGGAAACUAGGGGAGUGCCUUUCGGGGAACUCGGAGACAGGUGCUGCAUGGUUGUCGUCAGCUCGUGUCGUGAGGUGUUGGGUUAAGUCCCCGCAACGAGCGCAACCCCUACGUUUAGUUGCUAACGUGUAACGAUGAGCACUCUAGGCGGACUGCCGUUGACAAAACGGAGGAAGGUGGGAUGACGUCAAAUCAUCAUGCCCCUUAUGUUCUGGGCUACACACGUGCUACAAUGGCCGGUACAAAGGGACGCAAAGCCGCGAGGUGGAGCAAAUCCGAUAAAAGCCGGUCUCAGUUCGGAUUGCAGGCUGCAAUUCGCCUGCAUGAAGUCGGAAUCGCUAGUAAUCGCAGGUCAGCAUACUGCGGUGAAUACCGUUCCCGGGCCUU